rnacentral:rRNA from 1 species
UACGUAGGUGGCAAGCGUUGUCCGGAUUUAUUGGGUUUAAAGGGUGCGUAGGUUGUUCCAUAAGUCAGUGGUGAAAUACGGCAGCUCAACUGUCGAGGUGCCAUUGAUACUGCGGAACUUGAGUACAGACGAGGUAGGCGGAAUUGACGGUGUAGCGGUGAAAUGCUUAGAUAUCGUCAAGAACACCGAUAGCGAAGGCAGCUUACUAGACUGUAACUGACACUGAGGCACGAAAGUGU